AUGGCAGGGGAGGCCGGCGGAGUUUUGCCUUGUGAGCUAUGUGGGAACUUUUGCCAUGGCGGUGCUGACAACAACUUCAAGAUCGACAUUCGUGAUGAGUUCCUGUCUAAAGCGACUGUCCCAUGCAAUGCAAGAGUCUACGUCAAUGGUGUUACCGGGGACUACAUGCGUUUUGAAGCCCAUGGACGCAAGUGCUCUGUCGACAUUGUGAAGGGGGCACACAGGACCAGGAUCAAGGGGAGUGGCUGGAAGAAAUUCACUUCUGACUUUUCUCUUCAGAAGGGUGCUGUGGUCAUUUUUGACUUGGACAGGCGUCCCCGCCAGGCAUAUGUUGUCGCUCAAAGUGUUGACUUGCACACAGUUGAAGGAAGCAUUUUUCAGACGGGGAUGCUGAUGAAAGAGAUGAUAGAUGGAGACAUCUCAGAUGUGGACGAAUACGGUGGCAGCAUAAAGAUUGAGUAUACAAGGGGUCUAACUCUGAAUGAUGCACAGCAGGACAUUCUCAAUGAACUGGUGCUCAGCUUCAAGUCCAAGUUUUUAGGAGUGUCUUUUGUACACUGUCUUACUACAACCGACACUCAAGUUGGACAAAUGAAAGUGCCAGAGAGGGUUGCUACAAGCUUGAACAUCCCUAAAGAAGGGUUGGCUGGUGUUCGUCUAAGCAGUGGGGAGGCAAAGACUCGUGUUGAAUACAACACGUCUACUGAUGGACGUAUAGCUUUCAACAAAAAGCAGUGGAGGCGUUUCCUUUCAAAGACUACCCUGGAAAUCAAUGACUGCAUCUUCAUGUUCUUCAAGGCCAGCAGCAAGUCUUGCAUGAAUGUUACUGUUGUCGUCAGCAAGCUUUAA
rnacentral:rRNA from 1 species